AUAGAUAAAUUACUGUUAUUAAAAUAUUUAAGCAAAAUUUUUUAUUUCUAGAGUUAUUUAUUUGUCAAAAAAUUCACGCUCUUACUAUUUGGUAGUAGAAGAAAAGUUUUCAUUAAAUUAAUAACUAAAAUAAUAUAUCUGAUGUGAAUAGUUGCGUUGUGGUAUCACUUAUUCUCAACAGCGCAGUUCGAUCAGGGUUCGAGCCCAGUCUCGGGUUAAAGUUGCAUUAUUUUUUAUUUGUAAGAAAAUUAAUAUUCUCAAGCUAACAUUAAUAUCUAAAUUCUAUUUAUCAAUAGCAUUAAUUAAAAUAAAGUUUUUGUCGUUAACAAAUUUUAAGGUAGUUUCUCGGUGAAACUUCUCGACAGAUUUUGUUAAUUUAUUUUUUCACAGUUUACGAAUAACGUUAAUAAGGUUUAUACUUCAAUCAAUAUUUUGUCUUUUAAAAUUUCUUAAUCUAGAAAAUUUUUUUAAACUAAAUAAAUAGAAUUAAGAUAUGUAAUAUUAGCUUGAGAAUAUUAAUUUUCUUGAGAAUAAAAAAUAAUGCUAAUUUUACCCGAGACUGGGCUCGAACCCUGAUCGGACCAAGCUGUUAAGAAUGAGUGAUACCACUUCGCCACUGCUGAUGAUUCAUUGAGGUAGUUCCUCCUUAGAAUUAAGUUAAACUCGACUUAAAAAGGUUCUACUGUAUCACAGCCCGGCAAAAAUUCAAAUCGAAAAGACUAGACAGUCCUUCAGUCCGCCAUUUUGUUUCACUAGUCCGCCAUUUUGUUUUCCAUUAAGAGAUGCGGUAAACGUUGAAAAGGCCAUCAGGAAUUGUGUAGAGCAUGCAUUAGACUCUAGCACCUCUAACCAGCAAGAGAACAAAUUUAAAUGUUUAAUUAUUUAUUAUUAAUAAUAAUAUUUUGUUGCCUCCCUUGUAAAUAACAUAUCCAAGCUGAGAGUAAUCAAGAGGGAGUUUAGCUCUUACAUGGUUGUGUGUAUGAGUAACAAGAAGAAAGAAUACAAGUGUGAAUGUGUGUAAUCUAGAUUUGCUCUACAAAGCUUUUGGAGGUUAUGUAGGCAGAAAGCUCUUUAGUAAGUUGAUAAACUUGUUUUAUUCUUAAUGUCUUUGUUGGACACACUACCCGAGUGCCUUAACUUUAUUAGUUUAUUUCUUUUCGAAAAAUCUUUUUUGUUACUUUCAUUUAGGAUCUAAAAAUUCUCCCUGAGGUUCGCCAUUUUUUAUAAAAGUUUACUAAGAAGAAAGAAAUUAUCCAACGGCUAAAGAAGUUGUAAGAAUUUCAACGCGCUGGAAAGAAGAAAGAGCUAUGAAGAAAUUAUAGUUAAAGAAAAACAAUUAAAAUUUGAUAUUUUAUCCUAAAUAUUGUGUGACAAAUGCCAAAAUAGCGGGAGUCUACCCAUAUAGCAAUCUUUUUCAAGGCUUGUGCAAGUCCGGUCUCAAUUUCGAUAGUUGUUAGUGUCUUUUUCUACCUAUGGGUCUUGCUCCAGAUACUUGUAGCAAAUUCAAUUGACAAGUCGUGAACAAGCCUCGUACAAGAACUUUGGGCCGGAUUAUAGCUCAAGAAUCGUGUAAGAAAAUUGAGAAAACCUGAAGAUGCUUAUCGAUAAACUAACUAUAUCAAUUCUUGAGAAAAACUGACACCAGAAGCAUGCUAAAUAUACUUGUGCAAGACUUGCUCAAGAUCUGCUCAAGAUCAAAUGUUUUCGAAUGACCGUUCUUAUCAUUCUACCCCUCCUAUAUUUACUAUAGGAUCAGUGGAUCUCAUUCAGCUUAACCUUUUAGAGUAUAGACCUACUGUUUUAUCAAUCAAGACAAAAUUAUUUUAAAAUGAGCACCACUGAAUCAAUACAUCUUCAAGUAGUAGAGGGGAAAAAGUGCUAUAAAAUAUAUAAUGCAUGAUGCAUCUUGAGCAAAUCUUGAGCAAGUCACGCUUCAACAUUUGCUGUUAGUUUUUGGUUGACAAAUGCUUUGGAAAUGAACAAAUUACUGAGAAUUACGGAUCUUGAGCAAAUUUUGAGCAAGUCAUGGGUAAGUGUCUGUUGUGAGUUUCUGAUUCAAAAAAAUCCGUCAGAAAGUUUUUCAAUGCUCUUUACAUUUGACUUGUCCCAUAUUCUUACACAAGAUGUCUUGAGCUAGUUAUAUAUAAAUCUUGAAGCAGUUCUACUACAUGAACUUGAGCAAGACCUAUAUGUAGAAAAAGACACUAGCUACUAGGGAUUUUGCUCAAGAUACUUGCACCUAAAUCUUGCUCAAACUUAUUUUACCUCUUAAGAGGUAAAAUCUCAAAUAAAUUAAUCAUAUACUUGAUAUAGCCUUGAAAAAACAAAUUUUUAAAAAUUUAGUUCCUAAAUUUUCUGUGAGAUGGCGUUGCGCACCGGAAAAGGUAAUACGUCACACUCCCGCCAAAAUUCAAAUUCAAAAAAUCCUUUUUUAUUUAAAAAUUAAUAUUUGAGUAAAAUUUUAAUAUUUAUAUUCAAUAUUUAAAUAAAAUUACCCGGCAUUUUAACAUUUGUCUCGCAAUAUUUUACACUGAUAUUAACAACAACAAUAUAUUAUUGAUAAUAAAUAAAGUAUUGCACACUAUGCAUGAAUUAAGGAACGUUGCACUACACUAACUAAAAUGGUGAACUAUAACUGCCUGAUUGUAAGCCAUUAUUGGUAUUUUUAAGCAUGCAAUAUUAAUAACAAUAAUAAUAAUUUGUCUAGACUACGAUUUUUGUUAAAAAUAGUUCUUCCCAUAUCAUUGUAUAUUAUUUAUCGACAAGAGUGAGAAUUAUUCGGGUUAUAAUAAUAAAUACAGAGACGUGUACGCAAGCCUUUUAAAUAAUAAUAAUAAUAAUAAUUAAUAAUGUGACUUUUGAUGUAGCUUUGGACAUGGGACCUACACGUAUUCUAGUAUUAAAGUUUCUAAACAGUUGGGUUAUUAAAUUUACUACCGGUGUCACCGGGUCUUGUUCUUCCAAUAUUAUAUAUUAAAAAUGAAAAAAAAAAAAAAUUAAAAAAUUAAAAGCUUAAAAAAAAUACAACAAAAUAAAUUAUU